rnacentral:rRNA from 1 species
ACGCUAGCUACAGGCUUAACACAUGCAAGUCGAGGGGAAACGGCAUUAAGUGCUUGCACUUUUUGGACGUCGACCGGCGCACGGGUGAGUAACGCGUAUCCAACCUUCCCAUGACUAAGGGAUAACCUGCCGAAAGGCAGACUAAUACCUUAUGGUCUUCACUGACGGCAUCAGAUGUGAAGUAAAGAUUUAUCGGUUAUGGAUGGGGAUGCGUCUGAUUAGCUUGUUGGCGGGGUAACGGCCCACCAAGGCAACGAUCAGUAGGGGUUCUGAGAGGAAGGUCCCCCACAUUGGAACUGAGACACGGUCCAAACUCCUACGGGAGGCAGCAGUGAGGAAUAUUGGUCAAUGGGCGAGAGCCUGAACCAGCCAAGUAGCGUGCAGGAUGACGGCCCUAUGGGUUGUAAACUGCUUUUGUAUGGGGAUAAAGUCAGUCACGUGUGAUUGUUUGCAGGUACCAUACGAAUAAGGACCGGCUAAUUCCGUGCCAGCAGCCGCGGUAAUACGGAAGGUCCGGGCGUUAUCCGGAUUUAUUGGGUUUAAAGGGAGCGUAGGCUGGAGAUUAAGUGUGUUGUGAAAUGUAGACGCUCAACGUCUGACUUGCAGCGCAUACUGGUUUCCUUGAGUACGCACAACGUUGGCGGAAUUCGUCGUGUAGCGGUGAAAUGCUUAGAUAUGACGAAGAACUCCGAUUGCGAAGGCAGCUGACGGGAGCGCAACUGACGCUGAAGCUCGAAGGUGCGGGUAUCGAACAGGAUUAGAUACCCUGGUAGUCCGCACAGUAAACGAUGGAUGCCCGCUGUUGGUACCUGGUAUCAGCGGCUAAGCGAAAGCAUUAAGCAUCCCACCUGGGGAGUACGCCGGCAACGGUGAAACUCAAAGGGAAUUGACGGGGGCCCGCACAAGCGGAGGAACAUGUGGUUUAA